rnacentral:rRNA from 1 species
UACGUAGGGUGCGAGCGUUGCCCGGAUUUACUGGGCGUAAAGGGCUCGUAGGUGGCCAACUAAGUCGGACGUGAAAUCCCUCAGCUUAACUGGGGAACUGCGUCCGAUACUGGAUGGCUUGAGUUUGGGAGAGGGAUGCGGAAUUCCAGGUGUAGCGGUGAAAUGCGUAGAUAUCUGGAGGAACACCGGUGGCGAAGGCGGCAUCCUGGACCAACACUGACACUGAGGAGCGAAAGCCAGGGGAGCAAACGGG